rnacentral:lncRNA from 1 species
CCAACAGACUCGAAUGACUUUCUCGUUCGCGUGAAUUAAAAUAAUAAGACUUGAAAAUAAAAAUUAAUAAAUUGGAUUUGAGAACAAAAAUAUUAACAUGCAAAAUAAAGUUGAUUCAAUUGACAAAAGAAAACAAUGGAUGAAUGGAUGUUGUUGGGGGUUCACAAUUUCAUCUAAUCUGCUCUCUCUUAUCUACUCCUCUUGAAUAUUAGUUUGAUUAAUUAAUUGUUAUGCGACUUUCUUAGCCUCCCCUUAACCCGAUCCCUCG